GCCUGUUGGUAUUUGCAAAGGUUCUCUGAGUCAAAGAUUUGAAGAAAAGAAGUUUGUCAAUAUAAAUUGUGACUUCUUUCAAUCACAGAAAAACGAAUCCACGCACUCACCCUCCAAAGAUGUGCUAAGCGGAUCUGUCCAGUAUCUUCCUGAUCUGGAUGAUGAAGAA